UUUUUUUUUUUAAUAUGAUCUAAAGCCACACUAGAUCACAAUUGGAAGUUGUUCUAAACAUUGAAUAAUGGUUUAAAGUCAGUUUUUGACUAAAAGCAUUAACUUUAUGAAUUGUCUUGCGUAGCUAGAUGCUAGUUGUAGCUCUUAAUCCAUCUCUUGUGCAGCGUAUGUAUGUAUGUAGCGUAUGUAUGUAUGUAUGUAGCACAUGUAUGUAUGUAGCGUAUGUAUGUAUGUAUGUAUGUAUGUAGCGUAUGUAUGUAUGUAGCACAUGUAUGUAUGCAUCGUAUGUAUGUAUCACAUGUAUGUAUGUAUGUAUGUAUGUA
ensembl:lncRNA